GGCGCGGUCGUCUAAUUGGUUAGGACAUCUCCCUUUCACGGAGAAGAUUUACGGAUUCGAGUUCCGUCCGCGCUA
rnacentral:tRNA from 1 species